rnacentral:misc_RNA from 1 species
UUUCACUGCCGGCUGUCUGGC